CUAGAGAUAGAAAGGUUACUCGGUACAUCGGUGACAGGUGGUGCAUGGUUGUCGUCAGCUCGUGUCGUGAGAUGUUGGGUUAAGUCCCGCAACGAGCGCAACCCCUAUUGUUAGUUGCCAUCAUUCAGUUGGGCACUCUAGCGAGACUGCCGGUAAUAAACCGGAGGAAGUGGGGAUGACGUCAAAUCAUCAUGCCCCUUAUGACCUGGGCUACACACGUGCUACAAUGGUUGGUACAACGAGUUGCGAGUCGGUGACGGCGAGCUAAUCUCUUAAAGCCAAUCUCAGUUCGGAUUGUAGGCUGCAACUCGCCUACAUGAAGUCGGAAUCGCUAGUAAUCGCGGAUCAGCACGCCGCGGUGAAUACGUUCCCGGGCCUU
rnacentral:rRNA from 1 species